rnacentral:rRNA from 1 species
CCUACGGGAGGCAGCAGUGAGGAAUAUUGGUCAAUGGACGAGAGUCUGAACCAGCCAAGUAGCGUGAAGGAUGACGGCCCUAUGGGUGGUAAACUUCUUUUAUAAAGGAAUAAAACGAGGCACGUGUGCCGUUUUGCAUGUACUUUAUGAAUAAGGAUCGGCUAACUCCGUGCCAGCAGCCGCGGUAAUACGGAGGAUCCGAGCGUUAUCCGGAUGUAUUGGGUUUAAAGGGAGCGUAGAGGGGUUGUUAAGUCAGUUGUGAAAGUUUGCGGCUCAACCGGAAAAUUGCAAUUGAUACGGGCAGUCUUGCGUACCGUUGCGGUAGGCUUACUUCGUGGUGUCGCGG